rnacentral:rRNA from 1 species
UACGAAGGGGGCUAGCGUUGCUCGGAAUCACUGGGCGUAAAGCGCACGUAAGCGGAUUGCUAAGUCAGGGGUGAAAUCCUGGAGCUCAACUCCAGAACUGCCUUUGAUACUGGCAAUCUCGAGUCCGGGAGAGGUGAGUGGAACUGCGAGUGUAGAGGUGAAAUUCGUAGAUAUUCGCAAGAACACCAGUGGCGAAGGCGGCUCACUGGCCCGGUACUGACGCUGAGGUGCGAAAGCGUGGGGAGCAAACAGG